AAGGAGAGAGAAAAGGAGAAAGAAAAGAGGGGGGAAAAUUAUGUUGCUCAGAAAAUAAAAUAAAUACAAAGAAAAAUAGAAUUAAAUCCGUAAAAAUUCGGGGAAAAAAUCUAGGAGCAUCUAAAACUCAACCACAAUUAUACAAAGAUAAAAUAUUCACCAAUGUGAAUGUAAUUCAAAUUUGAAUCUAUGAUGUGUUUUAAAUAUUCUAAAAUUAAUCCCUUUAUGCUUGAAAAUUAUAGGACUAAUCUAGACACUUUAUAGAUAUGAAAUUUAGGGUGUUACAUCUUAUCUUUAGCUUUUUUUCCCAGUGAAAUGGUUUAGCUUAACAAUUAUUUUUGCUAGGUGUGGGUUCUAGCAGAGAUUUAAUAGCUGCUUUUUUCGUAAUCUAUUAAUAGCUUGGAUAUAUUUUGCAAAUGCAGAGCUCACAUUUGUUUAUUCGGAAUUUUCAGGAUCAAGAAUAAGGUAGUGUAGUUUAUUAAGCACCGCCAUUCAUGGAUCUACCGAGUUUGGUCAUGAAAGAAAAUCAUCAGUUAUGCAAGUAUAUUUUUAAGAUAACGUGCAUAUGUGAUAAUAUGCUGGUAGAUCUUUUUUUUUACAGAGAUGCACACACAGCACCUUAUGAGUCAUUUUUGCUUGUGAUCUAGUUUUUGAUUCAGGGAAAGUGAAGCAAAUUUGUUUGUGUAAAUAGUCGAUUAUAAACCAAAUUGCUAGAUUUACAACCAUUUGCAGUUCUAAAUCAUAUGAUGUAUACUAAACAUAUAUGCACUCUGAAUAAAACUGAAUGUUAUGUCCA